UACGUAGGGUGCGAGCGUUGUCCGGAAUUACUGGGCGUAAAGAGCUCGUAGGUGGUUUGUCGCGUUGUUCGUGAAAACUCACAGCUUAACUGUGGGCGUGCGGGCGAUACGGGCAGACUUGAGUACUGCAGGGGAGACUGGAAUUCCUGGUGUAGCGGUGAAAUGCGCAGAUAUCAGGAGGAACACCGGUGGCGAAGGCGGCCUUCUGGACAGUGACUGACGCUGAGACGCGAAAGCGUGGGGAGCAAACAGG
rnacentral:rRNA from 1 species